rnacentral:rRNA from 1 species
CUACGGGAGGCAGCAGUGGGGAAUAUUGGACAAUGGGCGCAAGCCUGAUCCAGCCAUGCCGCGUGAGUGAUGAAGGCCUUCGGGUUGUAAAGCUCUUUUGGCGGGGACGAUGAUGACGGUACCCGCAGAAUAAGCCCCGGCAAACUUCGUGCCAGCAGCCGCGGUAAGACGAAGGGGGCAAGCGUUGUUCGGAAUUACUGGGCGUAAAGGGCGCGUAGGCGGUUCUUUAAGUCAGGCGUGAAAGCCCUGGGCUCAACCUGGGAGUGGCGCUUGAUACUGGGGGACUAGAGAGUGGGAGAGGUUGGUGGAAUUCCCAGUGUAGAGGUGAAAUUCGUAGAUAUUGGGAAGAACACCGGUGGCGAAGGCGGCCAACUGGACCAUUUCUGACGCUGAGGCGCGAAAGCGUGGGGAGCAAACAGGAUUAGAUACCCUUGUAGUCC